rnacentral:lncRNA from 1 species
AUUUGGGAAUUCAGGAAUUUGGGACUUUGGGAAUUGGGGAAUUCAGAAUUCAGGAAAUUGGGAAUUCAGGAAUUCGGGGAUUUUGGGAAUUCAGGAAUUUGGGAUUUUGGGAAUUCACAAAUUUGGGACUUUGGGAUUUUGGGAAUUCAGGAAUUUGGGAAUUCGGGCAUAUGAAAUUCAGGAUUUGAGAAUUCAGGAAUUUGGGACUUUGGGAAUUCGAGAUUUUGGGAAUUGGGGAAUUCAGGACUUUGGGAUUUUGGGAAUUCAGAACAUUGGGAAUUCCAGGAAUUUGGACUUUGGGGAAUUGGGGAAUUCAGGGAUUUGGGAAUUCAGGAAAUUGGGAAUUCAGGAAAUUGGGAAUUCAGGAAUUUGGGAAUUCAGGAAUUUGGGGAUUUGGGAAUUCACGAAUUUGAGAAUUCAGGACUUUGGGAUUUUGGGAAUUCAGGAAAUUUCGGAAUUCAGGACUUUGGGACUUUGGGAUUUUGGGAAUUCAGGACUUUGGGAAUUUAGGAUUUUGGGACUUGGGACAUCAGGAAUUCGGGAAUUUGGGAAUUCAGGAUUUUGGGGAAUUUGGGAAUUCAGGACUUUGGGAUUUUGGGAAUUCAGGAAUUUCGGAAUUCAGGACUUUGGGACUUUGGGAAUUCGGGACUUUGGGAUUUUGGGAAUUCGGGACUUUGGUAAUUCAGGAUUUCAGGGAUUUGGGAAUUCAGGAAUUUGGGACUUUGGGAUUUUGGGAAUUCAGGAAUUUGGGAAUUUGAGAAUUCAGGAAUUUCGGAAUUCAGGAUUUUGGGACUUGGGACAUCAGGAAUUGGGGAAUUUGGGAAUUCAGGAAUUUGGGACUUUGGGAAUUCAGGACUUUGGGAAUUUGGGAAUUCACGAAUUUGGGACUUUGGGAAUUCAGGAAUUUGGGAAUUUGGGAAUUUGGGAAUUCAGGAAUUCGGGGAUUUGGGAAUUCAGGGAUUUGGGACUUUGGGAAUUCAGGAAUUAGGAACUCAGGACUUUGGGAAUUGGGGAAUUCACAAAUUUGGGACUUUGGGAUUUUGGGAAUUUGAGAAUUCGGGAAUUUGGGAAUUCAGGAAUUUGGGAAUUUGAGAAUUCAGGGUUUUCGGAAUUCAGGGAUUUGUGGAAUUCAGGACUUUGGAAAUUCAGGAUUUCAGGGAUUUGGGAAUUCAGGAAUUUGGGACUUUGGGAUUUUGGGAAUUCAGG